AGACACAGUCAGUUGGGGAUCAGAGGCCACACUCAUCGUAGCAGAGAGGCAGGAACAGCUGGGCGAGGGUCCUUCUGUGACAUCUACUGCAUCACUGGGCUCUGUGAAGUGACUCAGCUGCCAGAACUCACACAAUAUUCUGCACCAAAACCUCACGGGAAAAAUGAAAACAAAUCCAAACUGUGCAAGAGAAAAACGAAUGCAUUGAUCACUAGGACUCACAAGUUCCCAGGUUUAAUCUGCUUGAGAAACAGUUACACCAAUGGUUUCAAGUGGCAUCCUGUGAUUCAUUCUCUCUCUCCUCCUCUCUUCUCUCUCUCCUUACCCAACACCGGCACCAUAUUUAGCAUCACGAACCUCAGACUUAAACAGCACAACAGGCUCCUCCCAGGUCUCCAGCUACACAACCCUCAGACUUAAACAACAGCAGCGGCACCAGCUCCUCCCUGGGUCUCCAGCUCCACAAACCUCAAAUUAGAACAGCAGCACUGGCUACACCCAGUCUCCAGCUCUACACCUCUAACUUGAACUACAGCCACCAGCUCCUUCCUGGGUCUCCGGCUCCACAGACCUUAAACGAAAACAGCAGCACUGGCUCCUCCCCAGGUCCCCAGCUACAGACCCUCAAACAAGAAGAACAGCAGCACCAGCUCCACCUAAAGUCUCCAGCUCCACACCUCAAACUAGAACUUCAGCACCCGCUCCUCCCCGAGUCUCAAUAUCUGUGACCCUCAAAAUAAAACAGCAGGACCAGCUCCUCCUCUGGUCUUCAGCUUCACGACCUUAACUGUAACAGCACCACCCGCUCCUCCGGGGUCAACAGCUCCGACGCUAAAACUAGAACAGCAGACCAGCUUCUACCUAAAACACCAGCUCCGAGACUCUCAAACAAGAACAGCAGCACUGACUUCUCUCACCAGGUCUCCAGCUCCACGAUCCUGAAACUUGAACGGCAGCACCCGCUCCUCCCCGGGUCUCCAGCUCCACGAACCUCAAACUUGAACAGCAGCACCCGCUCCUCCCAGCGUCUCCAGCUCCAUGAACCUCAAACUUGAACAGCAGUACCCGCUCCUCCCCGGGUCUCCAGCUCCACGAACCUCAAACUUGAACAGCAGCACUCGCUCCUCCCAAGGUCUCCAGCUCUGCGAACCUCAAACUUGAACUGCAGCACCUGCUCCUCCCCGGGUCUCCAGCUCCACGAACCUUAAACUAAAACAGCAGUACUCACUCCUCCCCAGAUCCCCAGCUGCAGACCCUCAAGCUGCAACAGCAGCACCAUCUCCUCUCCAGGUCUCCAGCUCCAUGGACCUUAAACUAGAACAGCAGCACCAGCUCCUCCUUGGGACAACAGCUCCAAGACCCUCAAACUACAACAGCAGCCCUGACUCCUGCCCAGGUUUACAGCUCCACAAACGUCAAACUUGAACUUCAGCACUAGCUGAAGUCUCCAGCUCCCUGACCCUCAAACUAGAACAGCAGCACCAUCUCCUCUCUGGGUCUCCAGCUCCACGAACCUCAAACUUGAACUGCAGCACCUGCUCCUCCCUGGAUCUCCAGCUCCACGGACCUUAAACUAAAACAGCAGUACUCGCUCCUCCCCAGGUCCCCAGCUGCAGACCCUCAAACUGCAACAGCAGCACCAUCUCCUCUCUGGGUCUCCAGCUCCAUGGACCUUAAACUAGAACAGCAGCACCAGCUCCUCUCCUGGUCUCCAGCUCCAGGACCCUAAAACUAGAACAGCAGCACCAGCUCCUCCUUGGGACAACAGCUUUAAGACCCUCAAACUACAACAGCAGCCCUGACUCCUGCCCAGGUUUACAAACCUCAAACUUGAACUUCAGCACUGGCUGAAGUCUCCAGCCCCAUGACCCUCAAACUAGAACAGCAGCACCAUCUCCUCUCUGGGUCUCCAGCUCCAUGGACCUUAAACUAAAACAGCAGCACCAGCUCCUCCCGAGGUCCCCAUCUACAGACCCUCAAACUACAGCAGCACCAGCUCCACCCAAAGUCUCCAGCUCCCCACCUCAAACUAGAACUCCAGCACCCGCUCCUCCCCGAGUCUCAAUAUCCGCCACUCUCAAACAGCAGCACCGGCUCCUCCCCUGGUCUUCAGCUUCACGACCCUAACUAUAACAGCACCACCCGCUCUUCCGGGGUCAACAGCUCCAAGACUCUAAAACUAGAACAGCAGACCAGCUUCUACCCAGGUCACCAGCUCCGAGACUCUCAAACUAGAACAGCAGCCUUAACUUCUCGCCAAAUCUCCAACUCCACGACCCUUAAACUUGAACUGCAGCACUUGCUCCUCCCCAGGUCCCCAGCUACAGACCCUCAAACUAAACAGGAGCACUGACUUCUGCCCACAUAUCCAGCUCCACGAACCUCAAAGUUAAACUUCAGUACCAACUCCUUCCCGCGUCUCCAGCUCCACGACCCUCAAACUACAAUAGCAACACUGGCUCCCCAAUCCCAGGUCUCCAUCUCCACGACCAUCAAACUUGAGUUGCAACACUGGCUCCACCCAAAUUCUCCAGCUCCAGGAUGCUAACUGUAAUAGCAGCACCAGCUCCUCUGCAGGUCACCAGCUCCAAGACUCUCAAACUAGUACAGCAGCACUGACGCCUGCCCAGGUUUCCAGCUCCAUGAACCUCAAACUUGAACUGCAGCACCACCUCCUCCCUGGUUCUCCAGCUUCACGACCCUCAAACUAGAACAGCAGCACCAGCUCCAACCAAAGUCUCCAUCUCCACGCCUCCAACUUGAACUCCAGCACCAGCUCCUUCCUGGGUCUCAUGAUCCAUGACCCUGAAAAUAAAACAGCAGCACCAGCUCCUCUCUAGGUCUCCAGCUCCACGAACCUCAAAUUUAAAAAGCAGCCCUGGCUCUAACCCAGGUCUCCAGCUCCACCAUCGUCAAACUUGAACGGCAGCACUAGCUCCUCCCAAAGUCUCCAGCCCCACGACCCUAAAACAUGAAGAGCAGCAUUGGCUCCUCCCCAGGUCUUCAGCUUCACAACCCUAACUCUUACAGCAACACCCGCUCCUCCCCAGGUUGCCAGCUCCAAGACCCUAAAACUAGAACAGCAGACCGGCUCCUACUCAGGACACCAGCUCCAAGACUGUUAAACUAGAACAGCAGCACUGAUUUCUCACCAGGUCUCCAGCUCCACGACCCUCACACUGGAACUACAGCAACAGCUCCGCCCAGGUCUCCAGCUCCAGGGACCUUAAACUAAAAUAGCAGCACCAGCUCCUCUGCAGGUCCCCAGCUACAGACCCUCAAACUAGAAUAGCAGCACCAUCUCCUCUCCAGUUCUCCAGCUCCACGACCUUGAAACUAGAAAAGAAACACUGACUCCCCCCCACCACCAAUCUCCAUCUCCAGGAACAUCAAACUUGAACUACAACAGCGGCUCAACCCAAAGUCUCCAGCUCCCCGACACUAACUACAACAGCAGCACCAGCUCCUCCCUGGCUCACCAGCUCCAAGAUCCUCAAACCAGAACAGCAGCACUGACUCCUGCCCAGGUCACCAGCUCCAAGACCCUCAAACCAGAACAGCAGCACUGACUCCUGCCCAGGUCACCAGCUCCAAGACUCUCAAACUAGAAUAGCCACACUGACUCCUGUCCAGGUCACCAGCUCCAAGACUUUCAAACUAGAAUAGCCACACUGACUCCUGUCCAGGUUUCCAGCUCCAUGAAACUCAAACUUGAAUUGCAACACUGGCUCCUCUCCAGGUCUCCAGCCACUCAUCCCUCAAACUGUUGCUCCUCCCUGUGUCUCCAGCUUCAUGACCCUCAAACUUGAACUGGGGCACCCGUUCCUCCCCGGGUCUCCAGCUCCACGACACGUGAACUGCAGCACUUGAUCCUUCCUGAGUCUCCAGCUCCAUGACCCUUAUACUUGAACAGCAGCACCAAUUCCUGCCCAGGUCUCCAGCCUCAUGACCUUCAAAUUUAAAAAGCAGAACUGGCUCCAACCCAGGUCUCCAGCUCCACCAUCAUCAAACUUGAAUGGCAGCACUAGCUCGCCACAAAGUCUCCAGCUCCCAUGACCCUCAAAUGUGAACAGCAGCACUGGCUCCUCCCCAGGUGUUCAGUUUCACGACCCUAACUAUUACAGCAACACCUGCUCCUCCCCAGGUCACCAACUCCAAGACCCUAAAACUAGAACAGCAGACCGGCUCCUACCCAGGUCACCAGCUCCAAGACUCUCAAACUAGAACAGCAGCACUGACUUCUUGCCAGGUCUCCAGCUCCAUGACCCUCAAGCUUGAACCGCAGCAACAGCUCCACCCAGGUCUCCAGCUCCACAAACCUUAAACAACAGCACCGGCUCCUCCAG
rnacentral:lncRNA from 1 species